rnacentral:rRNA from 1 species
AUUGAACGCUGGCGGCAUGCCUUACACAUGCAAGUCGAACGGUAACAGGCUACGCUGGCGCGUUGCGAACGGGGGAGUCAUGUAUCGGAACGUGCCGUGUCGUGCGGUAUAAUUGCUCGUAAGAGCAGCUAAUACCGCAUACGACCUGAGGGGGAAAGCUGGUGAUCGCAAGACCUUGCGCAAUUUGAGCGGCUGGGGACGGACUCGCUGGUUGGCGGGGUAAUGGCUCGCCAAGCGGAUGAGCUGUCGUUGAUCUGUGGGAACGACCAGCCACACUGGGACUGAAACACGGACAAGGCUCCUACGAGAGGCAGCAGUGGGGAAUGUUGGGCAAUAGGCGGAAACAUGGUACAACGGUGCCACGUGCGAGAAGAAAGCCUUCGGGUUGUAAACAGGUUUUGUCAGGGAAAAAACGGUUCUGGCUGAUACCUAGGACUCGUGACGGUACCGGAAGAAUAAGCACCGGCUAACUACGUG